GCCAAAAUCUGGGAAGUCAGAAAAAUAAUGGAACUCUGGCAGCUUAAAAAGGAUCUCUGUCUCAAGGUAGGGGGAAAACCAGACAGAGACACAGGGACCUACUGAGGAUGGGAAGCCUCUAGGUCCAGGAGGGAGACCACCCGGAAUCCCAGUCGCUUUAGGAGAAGGCUGAGUUCAAACACAUCAGUGAUGGGAGCCAUCAGGUGCGGAUGAUUCCAGUAAUGGUUGUUGCCCACCAAAAGUGCGACCUUGUCUGUUGC